rnacentral:lncRNA from 1 species
UUUUGUAGAAUAAAAUAGUUUUUUAAAACAUUUAGGGGUAAAAUAAUUAUUUUUUGUGUUAAAGUGGCUGAUUGAUAUAAACUUAGAAAUAAAGGUAGUGCAAAAAAUAUAUCAAAAUUUUGAGGUAAUUUAAUGUACAUAUGACAAAAUAAAGGUGAUGUAGAGAUAAUUUUCCUUAAUAAUUAGUGUUAGAUUUUAUGGUGAGCCUUAUAAACAAAUUUGAAAUACUAACUAGGCAACCCAAGAGGGGGGUGAAUUGGGAUUUUAAAAAGUAUCCUAGGCAAACCACACAACAAUUUAAUCUAAUGCCUUAAUAAAUUCGAAAACAAUAAAUUCAAUCAAGCACAAUAUUAAAAGAGUAAGGGAAGAGAAAACGAACACAAGGAUUUUUACGUGGUUCGGCUAUCCCCGCCUACGUCCACGCCUCCAAGCACACCGGGCUUGAGGAUUUCACUAAGCUAGCCUCCCAAGGCUUCAAACGCUUACAAUUGACUUCCAAGGUGUCAAUGGACCUUUACAACAAGAGAUUAUCCCCAAUCUCUUAACCCAAGUGUAUCCCAACACUUACAAUCUUUUAACUUGAUUUUACAAAAAAAAAGAUUACAAAUGAAUCUCUCUCACACAAUGUGUUUGAUCACAAGUGAAAGCUCAAUGUGUGAAUGAAUGAGAUGAAUACAAAGAUUUAAAGCUCAAUGAAAAUUGUAUUCUCAAUAUUUUGCUCAAUGAUGAUCGUUGGAAUUCUUUUUGUUUGAAUUGGAUUGAGCAUAUUUAUAGUUGGAGCUGAAAAUCUAGCCGUUACAAACUGUCGGACAGAAAACGGUUCGCCGUUAACCAUAAACGGUUAGCCGUUUCGGUUGGUCAAAGUUACCGUUGGGCCAAUUUUCAAAUAAACGGUUAGCCGUUUAGGCUUACCCUUUCGCCGUUAAUUUCCAGAGACCUGCAAAACAAAUUUGGUUUAACCGUUCUUACUAAACGGUUCAAGGUUAGCAAAAACUGGAAAUAAUCGGUUAACCGUUUUCAGUAAACGGUUCACCGUUAGUUUCCAGAAUCAUCAUUUUAACAAUACUUUGCAGAACAUGCUUUCUGGAAAUUAUCGGUUAACCGUUUUUAAAUAAACGGUUAGCCGUUUGCUACAGUGAUUGCUACAGUAACCUGCACAGUGCACUAUUUUCUGAAAUUACCGUUUGACCCCAAAACUUUAUAAAAUUAUAUUAAGGCCCAAAACGUUAUGAAACUUUGCAAAUAGGUACAAUUUCAGAAUUUCUAAGUAAUGCUUUGUUAAUCCCAAAACUUUCUGAAAUUAUGAUAUAGCCAAAAAUGCUAUGACACUUUUCAAAUAAGUUCUUUACCAAAAUUUCAAGAAAUACUUGUUUAUUUCAAAGUUUUCAAAAUGCUUUCAAUUAAACCAUAAACUUUGAAAAACAACCAAUUUCAUAAAAUCAUUUUUCCAUUAAAUAUGAAACAUUUAUAAUGUGAAAAUAAUGAUUUAUUAUUUAAAAAGAAUAAAAACAAUUAAUUUCAUAAAAUCAUUUUUCCAUUAAAUACAAAACAUUUAUAAUGUGAAAAUAAUGAUUUAUUUAAAAAGAAUAUUAAAUAAUUUGAGCUUAAAAGAUUAAUCAUUCUUAAUCUUGUUUGUUAUCAUCAAAAUCAAUAUUAUGGAAACAUAUAUGUUAACAAAAUUGUGGAUAAAAUAGUUUAAUUUAUUAUUGCAUAUAAUGUAUUUGACGAAAUGUGUGUGUGAAAGCGAAUGUGUUGUUGUUGCUAUAAUUUACUUCAUAUUUUAUGUUUGAGCAUGAUUGUUUGAAUCGGGCAAUUUCUUUAAAUAUAAAUUUUGAUAAUGAAUUUAUAAAAAUGCUUGGAUAAGUUAAUUUUCUCUUUUCUUUUGUCAAAAUGUUACGGUGUAAUUUUAUUUGUUUUACCACUUUUUACUUCUUUUUUUUCAAAAUCUUACAGCAUAAUUUUAUUAUUUUUUCAACUAGACUGGCAAAUUCAUUUUUUUUUUAAAUUAAAAAGUUAAGGUGGGUAAAAGUCAAAUCAAAAUUUUCAAUCCUUGUACAGUUGUACUCUAAAAUUUGAACUCGGCCGUCAAGUUAAAAAAACAUGUAAAGAUUUAUUUCAUAAUUUUUGUUUCCAAAAUCGUUUUAAGUUUUUUUUUCAAUGACAUUACAAAAUUAUUGAUUAUAAUAUUAAAAAUUUAUUCAAUGUACGUUAACAUAUCUAAUUUCAGAGAAACUUGCGCGAGAUAUAUUAAAGUUGUAACUGGUAAGCCCAUUUAAUGGUGCUUUAUCAUGUGGUGGCAGAGUAGUGGAAUCCACUUUCACCGGCUUUUAAAUAUAGAGUGCGUUUGAUAUACAUAUUGUAUUAUGUUGUAUUAUAUUAU